rnacentral:rRNA from 1 species
UAUAAAAGGUUCUUCCUGCCCGGUGACAUUAGUUUAACGGCCGCGGUACCCUGACCGUGCAAAGGUAGCAUAAUCAUUUGCCUUUUAAUUGAAGGCUAGUAUGAAUGGAUAAAUGAAGUUUAAGCUGUCUCAUUUUUAACAAUAUAAAUUAAUUUUCAGGUGAAGAAGCCUGAAUAAUAAUAAAAGACAAGAAGACCCUAUUGAGCUUAAUUUUAAAUUUAUAUUUUAAUAACAUUUAUGUAUAUUUCUAAAAAAUUAUAAAUUUGGUUGGGGCGACAAAGGACCAUAAAAAUCGUCCUUCUUAUUAAGGCCUAUUAGCUUAAAUUGAUCCGAUCUUAUCGAGCAAAAGAAAAAGCUACCAUAGGGAUAACAGGCUAAUUCUUCUAAAGAGUCCUCAUUGAUAGAAGAGUUUGGCACCUCGAUGUUGGCUUAGAAUAUCCCUUUGGUGCAGAAGCCAGAAAAGGUUGGUUUGUUCAACC